CUUGUGUACAAAUACCGCAGCAAAAUCAGGAAUAUGGUGCAGUUUGAACAAACAAGAAGCCAGAAGAAGGAAGACUAUUCAGACACAACACACACUGGUGCCCAUCAGUAUACUAACAUGAUUCGAGAACAGCCAAUAGCACAGACCCCUAUCUAUGAAAAUGUGACAACACAAGCUCCUACCUACAACAGAACUGCAGCAAAUCAGAGCAGCUCGCCUUCUGAGCCUGAAGAGGAUUUGUAUCUGCAGUGUGAUGUGUCAGAUGAUGCAAUAUACAGCAAUGACCCAAAGUGUCACCUUGCCACCCUCUCACACUCCCAGGAAGAGGACGUGUACAUUAUGCCAGAUUCCUGAAUGCGUGUGUGCUCAUGUGAGAAUAUUUUUACUCCAUUUACUAUAUAUAAUGAGCUGUGGUCAUUGACUCAUGGUAUACUGUAAAUGCUACAAGGCAGAAAUAUGCUGCUGGGGUUUUUAAUCUCCUGCAGUACAGUGUACACUGGCAUGCAGUAAAUGUUAUUCAGUAUAUAUUUCAUAUUAUUUGCAAAUAAAUAAUGUAUAGAGUUGUUGUAUAUGAUUAGGUACCGCUAGAUUAUUUGGGAAAAAUACAAGCACUGCCAUUUGGCACAGUUCAAGUUAAUGACUGUGUUAGACAAAUUAAAACAUUUCAAUCCAAGUUGAUGAAUUAGCUGACGAGAUUUCUCUUCAUACCUCUGGAAUUACUGAUGAAUCACUUCCAUCGUGACCUUUACAAACGCAACCCCAGCAGCGCACUGAGACCCUUAGGAAGCAGCCAGCUGGUAGAUCAUCAGGUCAGAACCAAACAGGGUGAAGCUGCUUUUAGCUGCUGUGCCACACACAGAUGGAACUAACUUCCCAAUGACCACUUUCAGGGCUCAAACUGAAAGCUCUGCUGUUUUGUUAUCUAAGCCGUACUUCUGCACUGUAACUGCUAGAUUAAUAUUUCUUUUAUUUUGUCUUUUUGUUGGUUUCAUUUUAUGUAUUUGAUCUCAUUUAACAAUGUUUUAUUUUGGUUAUAAUUCUUAUUGUUUUUAUUGCUAUUGUUGCUUUUUCCUUGCCUCCGUAAAGCACUUUGAUUUGCCCAUGUGUAUGAAAUGUGCUAUAUAAAUAAAGUUGUCCUGCCUUUGGUCCUCCAUUAA